rnacentral:rRNA from 1 species
GAUGAACGCUGGCGGCGUGCCUAAUACAUGCAAGUCGAGCGAACAGACGAGGAGCUUGCUCCUCUGACGUUAGCGGCGGACGGGUGAGUAACACGUGGAUAACCUACCUAUAAGACUGGGAUAACUUCGGGAAACCGGAGCUAAUACCGGAUAAUAUAUUGAACCGCAUGGUUCAAUAGUGAAAGACGGUUUUGCUGUCACUUAUAGAUGGAUCCGCGCCGCAUUAGCUAGUUGGUAAGGUAACGGCUUACCAAGGCAACGAUGCGUAGCCGACCUGAGAGGGUGAUCGGCCACACUGGAACUGAGACACGGUCCAGACUCCUACGGGAGGCAGCAGUAGGGAAUCUUCCGCAAUGGGCGAAAGCUUGACGGAGCAACGCCGCGUGAGUGAUGAAGGUCUGCGGAUCGUAAAACUCUGUUAUUAGGGAAGAACAAAUGUGUAAGUAACUAUGCACGUCUUGACGGUACCUAAUCAGAAAGCCACGGCUAACUACGU